AUUGAACGCUGGCGGCAGGCUUAACACAUGCAAGUCGAGCGGAGAUGAGGUGCUUGCACCUUAUCUUAGCGGCGGACGGGUGAGUAAUGCUUAGGAAUCUGCCUAUUAGUGGGGGACAACAUUCCGAAAGGAAUGCUAAUACCGCAUACGCCCUACGGGGGAAAGCAGGGGAUCUUCGGACCUUGCGCUAAUAGAUGAGCCUAAGUCGGAUUAGCUAGUUGGUGGGGUAAAGGCCUACCAAGGCGACGAUCUGUAGCGGGUCUGAGAGGAUGAUCCGACACACUGGGACUGAAACACGUCGCAGACUCCUACGGGAGGCAGCAGUGGGGAAUAUUGGACAAUGGGCGGAAGCCUGAUCCAGCCAUGCCGCGUGUGUGAAGAAGGCCUUUUGGUUGUAAAGCACUUUAAGCGAGGAGGAGGCUACCUGGAUUAAUACUCUAGGAUAGUGGACGUUACUCGCAGAAUAAGCACCGGCUAACUCUGUGCCAGCCGCCGCCGUAAUAC
rnacentral:rRNA from 1 species